rnacentral:rRNA from 1 species
UGGGGAAUAUUGGACAAUGGGGGGAACCCUGAUCCAGCCAUGCCGCGUGUGUGAAGAAGGCCUUAUGGUUGUAAAGCACUUUAAGCGAGGAGGAGGGUACUGGUAUUAAUACUACCAGCUACUGGACGUUACUCGCAGAAUAAGCACCGGCUAACUCUGUGCCAGCAGCCGCGGUAAUACAGAGGGUGCGAGCGUUAAUCGGAUUUACUGGGCGUAAAGCGUGCGUAGGCGGCUAAUUGAGUCGGAUGUGCAAUCCCCGAGCUUAACUUGGGAAUUGCAUUCGAUACUGGUUAGCUAGAGUGUGGGAGAGGAUGGUAGAAUUCCAGGUGUAGCGGUGAAAUGCGUAGAGAUCUGGAGGAAUACCGAUGGCGAAGGCAGCCAUCUGGCCUAACACUGACGCUGAGGUACGAAAGCAUGGGGAGCAAACAGG